rnacentral:piRNA from 1 species
UACAAAGAAACCUUGUCUCAAAAUAAAAUA